UACACUGAGCUAUGGGACUUGCUCAGACUCUCCUCCUGUUAGGCAGCAGAAUCUAAUAAGAAACAGACAGUACACAAUGAAGUCAUCAAGAUCAGGUGUCUGGUGCAAGUAAGACUUGCCCCACAGGAGCUGGGGUCGUGGAAACAGAAGUGAAGAAAUUGAGACAUGGAAACGCAGGAUAACAUCCUGUGUCCAUUCUCAGAAAGACUGUUCUCUGGGAUGUUCCCUAAGGUGACGGCAGAUGUCAGCCUUGUGGAUAAAGCAGGCUCUGAAAGCACGCAGACAGGUUGCAGACCUCUGUUCCUCGUUACCAUAAUAUUGAAUGCUCAUCUUUUCCCAAGCACGACAGCGGAUAUGUGCUCUGCCUGCUAGCUCACUGUUGUUUGUGCUGGAAAGAACCCGGGCCCAGCCCAGAGCCACGUUGCAGGGCUCAGGACUGCUCUGAAACACUGCCACCUAGUGGCGUGAUGAGGGUUCUGUAGCUCAGGAAUCCUGAGAGAAGCAAGGAAGAAUCUUCUAGCAUGUGGGGGACUCUCGGGACCCAAGAGGGAGAGCAACUCCUAAAGACAUGGAGGCUUCUAGUACUUCAGGACAGACACAAACCACAGAACAUGCAGAAAAGAGACAGAGAGAAAACAGCAGCAACUGUUCUGUCUGCAGUGCUCAAAGCAUGCCACCUGUGGCUGAUCAAGAAGCAUUGGUUCAUGUGGUCAUCCUUAAAUGGAAGUGUGCACCACGGUCUGGAAGCUUUACGAUGCAUUAACAUCCAGCCUUUCAACUUCAAGCAACAAUGAGAGCCAACAACAAUGGCACCGGUCAACUAAGUCAGACUUUGCUAAGUGAAAAAGGCUACACCGGACAGAGGCAGAGUCUACAUCCAAGCUGAAAGCGUGGUCAGAGCUGCUUCCUCUGUGUUAAGUUCCUUCUUCUGCAAGGACUGUGUGACCCCCCUGGACAUUUGUUAGGUCAUAUCCAAAUAAUAUAGUUCAUAAAGAGAAGUAGAGAACCUGUAGAGGAAUAGACAACUGGUCGACCAUGGAGCUGGACGCUCUCCUUGUUUCAGAGAACUCUUGUGUUUGAUUCUGAAAUCCAUUGUCAACUCUGUUUUUAACUUCUUAGGUUUAACACUUCUUGUUUGAAACUCAAGCAGUUCUCCAACAACAAGAAAUAGACUACCAGUCGAUCUGAGUCACUGUGGUAAGCUCCUUUCCUUGCUGUCCACUGACUGUAGGCCAAUGAGGACUGUUGAUUAAAAGGCAUGUUCUUUCUCCA